GACGAACGCUGGCGGCGUGCUUAACACAUGCAAGUCGAACGGUGAAGCGCCUUCCUUUUUGGUGGGUGUGGAUGAGUGGCGAACGGGUGAGUAACACGUGAGUAACCUGCCCCCUUCUUCUGGAUAACCGCAUGAAAGUGUGGCUAAUACGGGAUAUUCUGGGUCUGUCGCAUGAUGGGUCUGGGAAAGAUAUUGUUUCGGUGGGGGAUGGGCUGGCGGCCUAUCAGCUUGUUGGUGGGGUGAUGGCCUACCAAGGCGGUGACGGGUAGCCGGCCUGAGAGGGUGGACGGCCACACUGGGACUGAGACACGGCCCAGACUCCUACGGGAGGCAGCAGUGGGGAAUAUGGCACAAUGGGCGCAAGCCUGAUGCAGCGACGCCGCGUGAGGGAUGGAGGCCUUCGGGUUGUGAACCUCUUUCGCCAGUGAAGCAGGCCUGCCUCGUUUGUGGGUGGGUUGACGGUAGCUGGAUAAGAAGCGCCGGCUAACUACGUG
rnacentral:rRNA from 1 species